rnacentral:rRNA from 1 species
AUUGAACGCUGGCGGCAUGCUUUACACAUGCAAGUCGAACGGUAGCAGGCCGCAAGGUGCUGACGAGUGGCGAACGGGUGAGUAAUGCAUCGGAACGUGCCCUGUCGUGGGGGAUAACUACUCGAAAGAGUAGCUAAUACCGCAUACGAUCUAUGGAUGAAAGCGGGGGACCGUAAGGCCUCGCGCGAUUGGAGCGGCCGAUGUCAGAUUAGGUAGUUGGUGGGGUAAAGGCUCACCAAGCCAACGAUCUGUAGCUGGUCUGAGAGGACGACCAGCCACACUGGGACUGAGACACGGCCCAGACUCCUACGGGAGGCAGCAGUGGGGAAUUUUGGACAAUGGGCGCAAGCCUGAUCCAGCAAUGCCGCGUGCAGGAAGAAGGCCUUCGGGUUGUAAACUGCUUUUGUACGGAACGAAACGGCUCUGGUUAAUACCCGGGGCUAAUGACGGUACCGGAAGAAUAAGCACCGGCUAACUACGUG